GCUACGUGCUUCGCGAAGUUCCUGAGGGAAUCCCCGCGAUUCUCUCUGUCAGUGCACCAAAAGGACUCGUGUCCGUCAGAUCAAGCCGUCGCUCGAAAAAAAAACAUAUUACAUCACAGAAGCGCAGAACUGUCCUGGAAGAAUUGCUGAAGUAUAACUGUAUCGUGACGACCGAAAGAAGACAACUCCUGACAGUUGAAAAAGCCUCCGUUGACAGAUUAGUUUAAUUUUACGUGAAAUUGAAUUCGAAGACGUAACAGAAAGCUGCACAAGAAGAAUCCAGUGAUCAAUAGACGAUUGCAUGGUUUUUUUCUGAAGAAUUCAUCGAUUAGAAGAUUCGAAAUGUCGUCCUGAUGCAGUUGUUGAUCCAAGACGUCCAUAUUUUUGAAAACAUUUUGGACUUCUAAAAUAUGCACGAUAUUUUUGGGAAGCACUCAUCAUCAGACGAAGAUUUGUCGUUCAAAGAUUUUAAGGAAACGUUGCCGUUGCUCGUGAGCGUUGCAUAAAGAUUUAUUUGUUAACUGAAACGUCUAGUCUUCUUCCGGGAUACUAUUAAAUAUUUGAAUAGAUAGAAUCACACGGAGAAAAUUUAGACAUAUUCCAAAUCAUCGAAAAAUGUCUUAAUUGUUAUUUUCGUGCAGUGAAUGUGAACCAACUUGAAAAGUUUGAAGAUAGAAUUAUCUAAUCGAUCGCGACCAGUCAAAGUUAGUUGACGCUUAAUGUUGACGAUACACCAAACUCAACAAGCUUCGAAAGGUCUUGUUUACGGGAACAGUCAACAGAUCAACUUUGCGGGAACCCUCAAGACUAUACUGAAGAUAAAUACCUUUAAAAUAUUUAAAGAUAUUUUUGAAAAUACGUUGACAGGAUGUACGGAAAGCUAUCUUAUCCACUUGAGAUAGGAGUGUUCUAUCAAUUUUUUAAUCCGUCAGAAAUCUCGUCCACUCAUGAAGAAGGCAAUUAGAUUAAAGAUCGUGGCAGAAAGAGAACGAUUCAUGGAGAUGUCGUCUAAGUCCCUGCAUAACGAGCACAUAAAACGGCCGAUGAAUGCCUUUAUGGUGUGGUCGCGUGGUCAACGUCGCAAAAUGGCACAGGAAAAUCCAAAAAUGCACAAUUCGGAGAUCUCGAAGAGGCUAGGCGCCGAGUGGAAGCUCCUGAGUGAGAGCGAAAAACGCCCUUUCAUUGACGAAGCAAAGAGAUUAAGAGCUCUUCACAUGAAAGAGCAUCCCGACUACAAGUACCGGCCGCGCCGGAAACCGAAGUCCCUGGUGAAAAAGGAGAACAAGUUCGGCUUCUCGAUAUCACCACUGAUAUCACCGGGCGACAGCUUGACCAAUCUACCGCGCGGUCUUCUGCCGUCGUUGACGCCUCCAACGCAUCAUCUGAUGCCGCACGAGGACCUGAAGAUCCCGCGCUUCUUUCCGCCGUUCGCCUAUCCGCUCUAUCCGCUGCAGCACAAGCUGAGCGACGACUUCAACGGCGGCAAGCUGGCCGCCGAUCUGGCCUUACAGGCCCUCUACACUGGCAAUCCCUUUUAUCCGAGCCACCAAACGAUGUCCUGGCCGACGAGCCUGUCGGCAGCCGUCUGUCUACAACCCAACUGUAGCUGCCCGAGUCCGCCGAAGGAGUCCAAAAGACCGAUUCCGUCGUCCAAGAUGGACGACCCACCCUUUCCGAGCCCGGCGAGGGCCGACGACGACGCCGUCGUCGCGGAGCGAGAAGAAUCCCGAUACCGAAAGCUCGAAGUGGACUUCUCCACCAAUCUGGAGAGUCAUCAUCAACAUCAUCAUCAUCAUCACCAUCAUCAUCAGGAGGACCGUUCCCAGGAUCGCUUCUCUUCCUCUUCGUCCUCGUCGCCGCCCACGGAACAACUGGAGAGAUCGUCGACGACGACGACAACGACGACAUCGUCCUCGUUAUCCUCGGCGUCGAGCGGCAGGGUCGACAGCGCUUUCUCCGUUCAGAGCCUGACGUCGACCUCCAACAGCUCGAAUUCGAGCUCGCAGCGCGGACACGUCAUAUGAAGGCCGCUCCCGGUUCUCCCGGACUUAAACUUCCGGGGGAGCCUGAUGCCGGCCGCGUGGCCGACUGCCGAUUGGUGGCGGGUGGCCCCGAUGCUCUCCCCGAUCCCUCAAACGACAGUCGUGAACCUGAGCACCGGUGUCGUCAAGGAGGACCCCGUCCAUUUCCAAGACGAGCAACAGAGGGGCUCGACUACCGUAUCCAGGUCGCCGAGGAACGGCGUGCACAUCGCCAAUGUACAGUGAUCUACUCGUCUAUCGCCGAGCAGUUGUACGCUCUGGAUGAACAUUUCGGUAUCUCGCGACCGGAAGUGAGCCAGUGCUAUCCAUGUAAUUCGGAUAAAUCGAUGAGAGCGCGCGCGUCACGCUCUCUCCUUUUAACGGAAAAACCUCUCGUUUUGUAGUUUAGAGAUCUCAUUCGGAGCAACGUAAUCCGCGACUAGCGAAAAAACGACGCGUAGUACGGGUCGGAAAGUGCCCGGCCGAAAAAUAUCGGGAUCGAGGAGUAGGCCGUAUCGGAGAAAUAGCUUCGCGACCGCAGGCCGAAGCUGGCGAAACAGAAACAGAAAUCGAUAACUCGGCUAUACGGCCCCGAAAUCCCACAAAGGAUCGGGUGCAAAGGGUCCUCUCGACCGGAUCGUGCACGCGAAGCUGGUUGCUAGAGGAGUCCAAUUCUGAUGAGAUAACCAACCCUCUCACAUGCCAUAUAUUAGGAGGCGGGCGGGCGCGGGCGCGGGCGCGUUCGGGGGUGGACACGGUAGGGGGAAGGGAGGAAAAAAAGCUCUUCUGACGGAGGCAAAUCUCUUCUUUGAAACGCGGCCGUGCGAAAUAAGCCUAAAACGUUCUGAAUGCUAACGUAGAGACGCGCACGUACCCCGACGACGCGGUUUCGGUUGUAUCUCGCGACCGGCGUCGCGCCGCGCCGCGCUGCGCCCGCUUUUCGCGAACGAAAGUAUCGAUACGGCGAAAUGGAAGACGCGUGGCUGACUCUGCGAACACGCGUCGACGCGAAUCCUUUUCUAAUAUUACGGAAAGGCCAGAAAGACAUUUUCGAAGGUUGUCAGAUUUAUUCCAUCUCGCUAAAGGUUGAUUUCGUCAAUGUUGUCUGGUAGUUCGAAUAAUGAACAGGAUUAUGUUUUUCACUUUUCUCUAAUUGCUUCGCGGAGCAUAAUUUACAACGUUGUACGUGUUUAUUAAUAUUUUGGCAAUUUAAUUUAUUGAGAUUAAGAGGCUUAUUCACCCUCACAGCUCGGUGAAGAAAUGUAAUUUGAAGAAUGAAUUGAAUGAA